AGCUUUGCGCAGUGGCAGUAUCGUAGCCAAUGAGGUUUAUCCGAGGCGCGAUUAUUGCUAAUUGAAGCGCAAGAACAAAAGAAGUAAAAUACACUGUUUGGGGGGGGGUGUAUAUAGGUGGUAAAAUUUUUAAAAAG
rnacentral:snRNA from 1 species